AUUGAACGCUGGCGGCAUGCCUUACACAUGCAAGUCGAACGGCAGCACGGGAGCAAUCCUGGUGGCGAGUGGCGAACGGGUGAGUAAUAUAUCGGAACGUGCCCAGUCGUGGGGAUAACGUAGCGAAAGCUACGCUAAUACCGCAUACGAUCUAUGGAUGAAAGCGGGGGAUCGCAAGACCUCGCGCGAUUGGAGCGGCCGAUAUCAGAUUAGGUAGUUGGUGAGGUAAAGGGCUCACCAAGCCGACGAUCUGUAGCUGGUCUGAGAGGACGACCAGCCACACUGGGACUGAGACACGGCCCAGACUCCUACGGGAGGCAGCAGUGGGGAAUUUUGGACAAUGGGCGCAAGCCUGAUCCAGCAAUGCCGCGUGCAGGAUGAAGGCC
rnacentral:rRNA from 1 species